UGCGGCACUUCACGGCGUGGG
rnacentral:misc_RNA from 1 species